rnacentral:rRNA from 1 species
AUUGAACGCUGGCGGAAUGCUUUACACAUGCAAGUCGAGCGGCAGCGCGGCCUUCGGGCUGGCGGCGAGCGGCGAACGGGUGAGUAAUGCAUCGGAACAUGCCCAGUCGUGGGGGAUAACACUUCGAAAGAAGUGCUAAUACCGCAUACGUCCUGAGGGGGAAAGCGGGGGAUCGCAAGACCUCGCGCGAUUGGAGUGGCCGAUGUCAGAUUAGCUAGUUGGUGGGGUAAAGGCCUACCAAGGCGACGAUCUGUAGCUGGUCUGAGAGGAUGAUCAGCCACACUGGGACUGAGACACGGCCCAGACUCCUACGGGAGGCAGCAGUGGGGAAUUUUGGACAAUGGGGGCAACCCUGAUCCAGCCAUUCCGCGUGAGUGAAGAAGGCCUUCGGGUUGUAAAGCUCUUUCGGCAGGAACGAAACGGUGGGCUCUAACAUGGUCCGCUAAUGACGGUACCUGAAGAAGAAGCACCGGCUAACUACGUG